GCAUCGAUAGCUCAGUGGCAGAGCGGUGGGGCACCCAUGCGGCCCGGGUUCGAUUCCCGGUCGAUGUA